UACAAUACAAUACAAUACAGUACAGUACAAUACAAUACAAUGCAGUACAAUACAAUACAGUGCAGUACAAUACAGUGCAGUACAGUACAAUACAGUACAGUACAGUGCAGUACA
rnacentral:miRNA from 1 species